ensembl:lncRNA
CUUGUAAGCCCUAGAGGAUAUUGGAAUCAGCUUCCAAAAUAGUUUUCUAGCUUUUCUCUAAAAGGAAUCCCAAACCAAAUCCAAGCAUUGCGUUGCGGGACCAUAGACCCAAGUUUAUUUAAUUCUCUUCUGUGAUUUGAACCUCAGGAGAUGUUCAAAAGCUAGAAGUUCUUGAAUACUUUUCUAAGACCUAUAGUGUGAUGUCACAGUGGGAAAGUAUGUGCUUAGGGGGAAGAAUAACAACACAACCUACUAAAAAAGCCCAAACACACUCACAUCCUAUAAAGAAAUUGUGAAUGUAUUCAUUUUGGCUUUCUUACUGCCUGUAUACUUGCUUUCUCAUCUCAAAACUUAGCAAGAAUGUUCAGAGAGGUGAAAGUACUUCAGUUGGAGACCUGCAGUAACAGGUGAAGAAAAUGAAUUCUAAAGUUCUGCCUAUGGCUACAGAUAAUUGUACAGUCACAGAAAAGCCCACGUUUAUUUUAUAAAAAUGAAAACACAGUCACUAACUUCAUUUUAUCACUCCUAACUUUAUUUUUCGAAAUACAAUAGUGAGGCAAGAAAACAGUUCUAACAGAGGGGUGGAGUGGAAGGAUAGAAUUAAUGCAUCCAAUAACCCUAGGUCCUACCAGGAUCGUGGUGGACAUCAAGUUGAACAUGAGACAACAUUGUGCCCUUGUGGCAAGAGAGGCCAACGCCAGGGGCUGCACUAGCAGGAGUGUUGCCAGCUGAUCAAUACUUGCUGGCGGGGUAAGAGGUAAUGGGGAAGACUGAAAUGAUGGGAAAUCCAUUUAAACGGAAGAGAAAUCUUUCUCACUGUGAGAAUAUUCAAGUGACGGAACAAGUUUCUCAGACACCUUGUGGAUUCUUCACUCCUGGAAAUACUCAGAACCCGACUCCAUGUGGUUGUGGAUGAUCUGCUCACUUGCCCCACUUUGAGCUAGGGGAGAUGGACUGGGUGAUCUACAGAGGUUCCUCCAACCUCAGCCCUGCUGUGAUCCUGUGAUUCUUGGUAACAUCCAUUUCUUGCCUAAGAAAAGAAGAACAUGACUGGAUUUUGGUUAUUAUGAUUAUUUUUUUCCUAAAUUAAAGAAUUUACAGCAAAAUUCCCCAAAUUCUAAAAGCCUAUAGAAAUCCUAAUGGUAAAAUUUAUUUCGGAACUGAAGUGUAGUCUCUUUAC